AUCACUAAGUAGUAGUGGUAGUGUUGAUGUGAAAUAUGCGACCGCAGCUAUAAACUGAGCAAAACGCUUGCAAUGCCAUCAAUAGCAAGAGAAAAACGGCAGCCAGCAAAGCAAGAAUUGGCCAGCAACCAACCACAUAAACCUUGAAAAUUUUUGCCAUUUUAACCUUCCAUCUACCGUUAUAAUACUUGUUCACAUCUUCAAUCGCCUGGUCCAAGAAUGGCACUUUCGUCAACCGAAUCGACUUGCUCAUACCAUUAAACAGACUGGCCACUUCUUCAUCACUCUUCAAACGGUUCAGAAUUAUACCUUUUUCUCUAAGCAGCUUUGCGUCCUCCUCCGUGUCUAUAAUCCCGUUCAUCAUUUCUGUGUAGCGUGUAAAAACCAACUGCCCUGAUGCAUUUGAUGCUUCAUAAGUUACCAAGUUUCUCAGGAUCACCUCUGCGUUCACAUCUAAGCUAGUUGCGGGGAGGUAAAGUGUGACCGUUUUGGGAUCAAAGGAUAUGGAUGAAAUGCAACCCUUUGUUGGCACAAAACGGAUCCCGGAUUCCAUAAGAUCAGACACAGAAGGGAUAGUGAUCUCCUCUACCAAUGGCGGUUUGUUGACGGAACUCUCAUUUUCGGGUUUGAUUUCUUCUUUGUCUUGGGAGGAGAAUAAAUAAGCAACAGGUUGUUUCAAAAGUGCAAAUCCAGGAAGGCUGGAGAGGAUUGUCCAAGGCAAUUUAAAUAUCACUUUAAUAGGUCCGGAUACAAGUAUGUUUUUAAGGAGACGUACCGGCCCUUUGUUUAGUUUCGACAGCAGAUUCCAUACUUCCUCAAGAAAUUGUUUAACGUAAUUCGGGCUCUUUGUAGAUUUUGACUCCUUGUCUUCGUCUGUGCCUUCGCCUUGAUCCUCAGCUUCUACAAUUUCAGAGGGCCGGCGUUCUAGUUUGGGGGUGAUCAUUUGGUACAAAAAGUCUAGCAAGUGAGCACAUUCUGAGACUUUGAUCUUCGGCAGGUCCUCAUCCUUCAUCUUGAAGGGUGAAAGCUCUUUGCACAAUCCCAUCAACAUCGAAAGCAGCAUCUCGUCAGCAGUUUCCAACGAUUGGAAUCGAAACUCCAACAUUUUUCUCAAAACAAAUAGUGGGAUUUGGUUCUCAAGCAUUACCAAGUCCCUUAGAAUUGAAUGGUGUGCUGAGUUCCUGCCUGAAUAGUCAACCAAGCGUGACAUCUUUGAGGAAACUCUGGUCAAAAUCUUCCCUUCUUUGGCUCCAUAGACUUGGACCAUCUCUAGCAAGAAUGAUGCGUCGAUCGCCAUCAUCCACCCUAGAGUCUCACCAUUGAAAUCCAGGUACUUGUGGUAGCAAGCACGAAUACGCGGCUCAAGCUUUAUCAAUUGAUCAACAAGAUUUUGGAACUUAAGGCACUGGAGAUUCUUUUGUGUUCUUUUAGCUGCAGCCACUUUGUACCUCUCCAUCUCGUAGAGCUCCGGACGCAAAUAAUGGUAAGGACCAAUUGCAACUUCUUGUGGGGUGUAGGAAUCAGGAUCACUUGCCAAAAGGGUUUUCGGGACAUUGAAAAUGGAAACGGGGAUUUCGCUAUCAUCGUCGAGCUCUUCCUCGAGUGUUUUUCGGAUUUGAAUAACCCAUUGGAACUCGUUGAAGUUCGAACUAGAUUUGGAAGAGAAACUUUGUUGGAGAGAGGACAUGUUUAUGGUGUGUUGUUCUAGCUUUUUUUAGGAUCAUAAACUUUUUUGGUGGGUUGAAAGACAGUUUCUGAUCAGAUUGUGAGGAAGUUAUGAGAAGAACUAAGGAGAGAGUCCUCAUAUUAAUAUUGUCAUUAGUGACCUUUAAGAGUGUUUUUGAAUUUAUCAAUUGGGAAUGCGUUUUCCUCAUGCUUUAAUUGUUUACUAUAUGAAAUGUGUCUUUUACCUUGCUCAUGACAUAGAUCUGAGUUGGCUACGGCAUGUCUUCAUUAUAUCAAAUUCUAAUCCUUCUAAGUAAUUGGUGUUAGCAAGAGUAGAGAGGAUGUAGAGUGAUGAGCAUGAGAGAUUUUUCAGUGUGUUAGAAACACGGUCCGGUACGUCAAGUGUAAUAAUACAAUUAAUUGGAAACUUGAAAAAGAAAAUUUAAACAAUUGCGUUAUAACAUUUAGUGUACCGAAUCAUAUUUCUAGCACAAUGAAAAUUUUCUUUAUAAGUAAGAAUAAGUUAAAUCAAAAGUUUGACACCCUUAAAUAUAACGAAAAAUAUGUAAUAAUUCAUCUAUUGGUGACAGGGAGUUAUAUGUUUGUUAUUCCCACUUGGUGCAAGUAGGAUUAAUGUAGUGUGAGAAUCAUAAUCAUUGGGCUCCAUUUCACGUGUAGAAGCCCUGUGGGAUGAUAGUGCCAUGUUGGCCUUUAAAGAAAGGAAUAAAAAAAAUGAGAAUUCGUUGUGGAAUCCACAACAUAUUGAAUUUCAACGAUCCGAAUCGUUUAUUUUUUAAGUUGUACCUCAUAAAUCAUCCUUGCAAAAUAUUAGCCAAAUCAGAAAUAUUUAAGAUAUUUAAUUGAGUUCAAAGAAAUGAACAAAUACUUUGUUAUACAAGAAACAAUGAAAUUUGAUGUUGAUAAUUAAAUAGACAAAUGAUUGUCACUCAGUACUACGGUCUGUUGGUAUUCCUCUUAACUUGGAAGUGACAGGUCUUAGGUUCGAAUCUCGUGAAUGGCGAAUUCGAUACCAAAUUAGGCUGCCCAUUGUAUGACAUUUAGUACUACAAUAUAAUUGUAAUUUUUUUCACAUGUAAUUGAGAGGUUUUCAGUUUGAUUUUCAUUAAAGAAAAAUUCGAAUCACAUUAUUACUAGUUUAUUGUGAGGCUAACACAUGUCUUCUCUCUUAUUAUAGAUAAUAUCGUUCGUUAAAAGAAAAUAAUUAAUUAAUUCUUGUUCCGUCUAAAAACAGACAACAGACUAACUCUGAUCUAAUGAUAAAUCUUUUACCAGUAUUUAAAAGAAGUUAAUUUGAUGUGUAAAAGUAAACUAACUCUGAAUCUAACGAUAACUCUUUCAUCGGUAUUUGAAAGUUUCAAGUUCAAUUUCAAUCCCUAGUGAUUAAAAAAUAAAGUAAAAUCCUAAUUGAUGCGGUCGAUUUUUUAUACGUAUGCCAACAAUUAUUACGCAACUAUCACGUUAUGUGUUGUCACAUUAGUUAGGUUUUAAUUUUUUUUUUUUUAAAAGGAGACAAUUUGUGACAAGCCACGGUUAUCCACCAUUUCCGGGUCGGAGAUGCUAUAAGGAAUUUCACCCUUGCCCAUUGCUACGGUCAAGCAGACUCACAAACUCGGAGCAUCAAACCCAAGACUUUCCAUAUUUUUUUGUUUGUUUAUUGAAAAGCCACAUUCCACUUUAAUUCUAAAAUGUUGAGAUAAUAGUUAGUGUAUGUCAUAUUACUCAUUUUUUUACCCUAAAUUCAUCCACCAUAUGAAAAAAUGUGUCACGUUAGUCAUUUAUAAAAUGUUGAGAUAAUAGUUUGUGUACAUCACAUUACUCUUUUUGCUUUACAAACGAUAAGAUAAUUACAUCUAUACUACAGAGAGAUGCAAAUUCGAACUUCAAUGUAGAUGAUAAAGUAUACUGCUUUAGUCAACUUGGCUAAACUCAUAUUUAUUUGGAUUAUAUUACUCUUAAUAUUUUAUAAUUGUGGCGUGGAGGGCUUACAUUUCAUAAUAUUAGCAUAAACCCUAUCCUAACUUAAUAAUUCGUUAACUGGAAUCGAAUUACAUCAGCAUAGACAAAAGAGGACAACCAUAUUGGUUCCUUCCCUAGCCGUGAAUAAUGGUUAGUUUAAUAAUUCUUUUGGAAGAUUUGAGUUUAAUAACUAAACACAAAGAUAGAAGAUAAGUAUGCCAAGAAAAAACACAUCCGUUAUAGCCAAAUUCUUUGCCAACUCUCUUUUUCCAUGAAGUUCCAUGUUUGCAAUUCGAAUUACUUUUAUAGGUAGCUCAAGUUUGCAAUUUUAAUUAUGAUCUUCUUGUAAACAAAGUAUGACACUGUGCUUGGUAUUAACACACAAUCCAACUCACCAUAACAGUUUUCUGUUUACUUUGUGCAACUAAUUUUGUCUUAGAGUAAUUAGUUAUACUUGAUUAGAUGCUGAUUAUGAUUAGCAGGUGUAUAUAUACACAGUUGUAAAUAUUCUUUCAAUUAAUGAAAAUAGCACAAUUCAUAACUCAUCAUAUGGUAUCAACCGCCAUUGCUUAACAGCCUCUUCAUGAUCCUCUCCAUCUCUUCAUGAUUCUCACUGACCUUCACUUCUCGAUCGAUUUUCUUUGCGUCUCUCUUCAUGAUUUUCUUCAAUUCUUGAUCGAUUUUUCGUCUCUUUGAUCUUUAAUCUUUGUUUUUCUCUACUUCUCCGAUGACAUCUUCGGAUUCUUCUCCAGCGAAUCCUAACAUUCUUGCCCCCAAUUCAUCUUCGAUGAACCCUAACCCUAAUUCUCCAAUUUCAUCUAUUUCUUCAAUUAUAAUCCAAAACAUUAGUUGUAUGGUUCCCAUGAAGCUCAAACGAGACAAUUAUCUCAUCUGGAAGACGUUCUUUGCUCCAAUUUUUCGUCGUUACAAGCUUACUGGAAUUCUUGAUGACACUGAGGUAUGUCCACCUCCAUAUCUUCUUGACGGUUCUGGACAACACCGGUGUUCCGAAUCCAGCCUUUGAAACUUGGUAUGAGAAGGAUCAAAACAUCCUCAUUUGGUUGAAUUCCACUAUCUCUAAAGAGAUCAUACGUUUCACUGUCGGUGUAUCAUCUUCUCACGAACUAUGGAUCAAUCUUGAACAAUGCUUCAGUGGAGUCUCUGUUGCGCACAUUCACCAACUCCACACUUGCCUUCACUCAGUUCAGAAAGGUGUCUUUCAUUCUCUGAAUACAUUCAACAAAUCAAGAGUAUCUCGGAUGCUUUAAUGGUUAUUGGCGCGCCAAUUUCUGAUCAUGACCUUAUUGCUGUUACGCUCAAUGGUCUCUCUGAUGAGUACAAGUCAUUUAUUGAUUCUAUCAUGAUGUGAAUUUCCUCCACAACUCUUGAUGAACUUCAUGGCUUAUUGAUCAACAAAGAACUUUUCAUGAGUCAAAAGAAAAAAAUAUGUUGUUCCUUCUAUUUCAGAACCUUUUCAUGCUUAUGCUGCUCAGUCUCAGCGUUCUUAGGCUCCGAUUCUUCCAACGCCUCAAUUCAAUGCCUUUCCCCAAACUUUUGAUGCUCCAUACUCCAACUACAAUUCUUCUAAGAAUUAUCAAGGCAGCAAUCGUGGUCAUAACCACAGCAAUAAUCGUGGCAAACAAUCGUAGUUUCAACAAUUAUUGUGGGUCUGUGUCACACCCCAAAACUUGAGAUGUGAGAUUAAGUAAAAUAAAUAGAACAAAGUGGCCGUUUAAGGAUGCAAAACAAAUUUCAUCUUAAGAUUAUGUCGACGAAAAGUUAAAUCCCCCAAUUUCCAUAAAGUUAAACUACAAAAGUCAAUUUAAAGAAAUAGAGUUAAAGGUCUCAUGGUAAUACAAACUACAAAAGCGACCUAAACCGUAAAAUUCACCGAAAAUAGCUCGUUCAACCAAAAUGCGUGAAAAUUUCCAGAUCCAAUGUUAACCCACGAAACUAAGUUGUGUCAAAAUUUCAUUGAUUUUCGAGUUCGGGAAGUAUAGGAAAAUGUUAAAACUAAAACAGGCAUGCUGCUGUUUUCCUGUAAGAACAAUUUCAGCAGCUCCAAAUUACUCUGCAAACAAAACUAUCUAUAUUCCAAAUCUGAAUUUUUGCAACAUUCCACUUAGGUAAUAGAUACACACCCACAGUUUUAAACAUAACCAAGUUCAUAGUGGUUCUUCAAGAGCCAUUCAUAAAACCUUACAGAUUAAAAUAAGUUCACAAAAGACCUUUAGGUCUUCUAACAAGAAAACAUUUUCAGGCUAUUUGAGGAAAAUGUACAUGAGCAAAACUAUACAAGCCAAAAGACAAGUAGUUAUAUAUACAUGAUUUUCAUAGCCCAGGUAAGUAGAAUCUCCAACCCACCGAGGUCGACAUCAUUUUAGUCUACUACGCCACAAAAGGAUCAUUUACAAACAAAAACUAACUAUACAAACACUUUGGCAGCUCACCCAAAAGAAGUGUACGCCUGGACUCCCGUCAACUAACCCACAUUAGAGCUGCCACUUGAAAAUCAGCUAGUCGACUCUACACACCUGAAAGUACAUGUGUAGAAAAACGGGGUGAGCAUAAAAUGCCCAGUAGGGGUAAGUCCGUAGUCAUUUAAAAUCUCUAGUGCAUGCCGAAAGUAAUAAAAGUGAUUCAAAACAGUUUAUUUUCACCACCACGUAAUCCAACAAUUUAAAAAUUUAUGGAAAGUAACAUAUGACAGAAAAACCAAAGGUUUCGGAGCAUUAGCAGCUUGAUAACAACGGUACAACACACAAGUUCAAAAAUCACUUCUUUUGUCAUAAGGAUAACAAAGCCAUUAUCAUUUAAAGAAUCACUAGCACACCAAAUCACAAAGAUCUUCUUUUAUCCCAAACAAGUGACAAGCAGAUUGGAAAGAACCGUAAUAUACCUGGCCAAUACACAUAUCACAUGUAUUUAUCACUUUCAUAACUCAUUCUCACAGCCCCCACACAUGGAGCUUUCCCCGGGGAACCUUGGGUCAUUGUGCCCAUAAUCAAACAACUUCACGGGUCAUUGUGCCCAUUCAUACAUUUCUCAACAUUCUCAACUGCACAGGUAUUACACUAUUUUUCAUCUACUUUCACAAUUUGAACAUUCGUAUUGAGAUGCUUCAAUAUUUGGUAUUGAGUAAAAUAAGAGGCAUGCACAUCAAAACAAAAUCUUGAAAAAACUCAUUUCAAUCACUUUAAACUCACCAAAGUUGUAGUAACGGAAUUUGAAUCAUUUAGAUCAAACCAUAGUGCAAUAUUUUCUCCACUUCUUUUACAUAAUCGAAAAAGAAAACAUUUUAAGUAAGCUUAAAAAAUGUUCAAAUGCCAUCAAUCCUUAAUCAAGUAAAAAUGAAAAACCAAAAUAUUUUAUUUUUGAUUAAAACUCCCCUACCUCAACACAAUUUCUUGAUAUUCAACUUCCAUGGUGUUCGUCGACUUGUGUCGUCCCCUUGUCCUUCUCUUCCUUAUCUAUAAACAAGAAAAAUCAUUACGCACCACUUAUACAAAUAUCUAACAACAUACCCUAAUUCAAGGUUAAUUGGGGACUUAAAUCAAACACUUGGUGCUCAACUCUAAAACUAUAACAUGAACUAUGAUACCUUCAUGUUCUUUUACUCCGACCCAAACUAAUUCAUGGGUUAACAAACCAAAAAAAAUCAAAUAGAUCCCAAAGGUAAGAAAUAGAUACCUUAAAUGGAGACAAAGGAAAGAUCCUCACUUGUUCUAAUCUUCACAAGCAAAGAAAAUUAAACUCCUCUUCCUUAGAUUUCCUUUUUGACAAGUGAAGAGCUAAAAGGGGUAAACCCCUUUCAUUAUUUUUGGCUGGAGGGAAGGCAGGAAGGGAACAUAGGGAUUUCUAGAACCCAUCCCUUUUUUUUAUAUCCCAAACGUCAACUUUACCUCCUUUUUUUUUUCUUUAUAUAUAUAUAUAUAUAUAUAUAUUUUUUUUUCCAAUGGCCAAAGGCCAAUUGAUCUAACCUCAAAUAAUGCAAAACAAUUUUUGCUAACAAAGACCACAAGCAAUUCACUCUUAAUCCCCACUUAAAAUUUUCGGGAUAUUACAAUCUGGCAAUUUUCGAGGCACCUCUUACAAUCCAAGUCGUUCUUCAGGAGGAUCAAAUCGAUAGUACUUUGGUGGCCGAGUUCCCUAUCAAAUAUGUCACUCUUAGGAUCAUGAAGCAAUUGACUACUUCAAACGCAUGAAUCAUGCCUUUGCUGGAAAAAUUCCACCAGCUAAAUUAGCAAGGAUGCGUGCUUAUACCAUUGCUAAAUCUUCUUGUCCUACCUGGAUUUUGGACUCUGGAGCUACCUCACGUAUCACAAAUGAUAUCUCUUCCAUUCAUUCUCAUAUGCCUUAUCAAGGUGAAGACAAGGUUUAUAUCGGUGAUGAUCAAGGUAUGCCCAUUCACCACACUGGUACUUCUGUUCUUAAAACUCCAACUGCGGCAUUUAAGUUGAACAAUGUUCUUCAUGUUCCUCAUAUGAAGUUUAAUCUUCUUUCUGCAUAUCAAAUUUUAAAGGAUAAUUACUGUCAAUUAAUCCUUGAUUCUGAUGGUUCUACAAUCAAGGACCGUUCUACAGGGAAUAUGCUUUUUUAGGGGCCAGUUAGCUCUGGUUUUUAUCUCGUCCAAGGUACUUCUCAUGCUUCUGUCUGUGCUCCAGCAUCUACAUCGUCCUAUGCAAAAAUUAGUACUCCAACUUCAUUACAACUUUGGCAUAAGAGGCUUGGACAUCCCUCUUCUACAAUUUUCAGGAAGAUAUUAACUAGAAAUAAGCUUGCUUACACUGGCUAACAGUCUGUAUGUUUCUUUUGUCAAGAUUAUGCCAUUGGAAAAAAUCAUAAGCUACCAUUUUCUGUAAGCACUAGUAGUACUACUCACAGUCUAGAACUUGUUCACUGUGAUGUUUAGGGCCCUGCUUCUAUAUCCUCUAUUAGUGGAUAUAAAUUCUAUGUUUUAUUUGUUAAUGAGUUUACCAAAUGUAAUUGGUUGUUUCCUUUGAAGUCAAAAUCUGAGGUCUUCUCCAUAUUUGUACAUUUCAAAUCAUAUGUUGAAAAGUUGACUAGAAACAAAAUCAAGAUUCUGCGAUCUGAUUAUUAAUGAAAUUUGUAAUUCUCGUCAUUUUCUAUUUUAUUUAUCCAGCGUCCAAACAAUGAAAUUUCAACUUACAAAAUUUUAAAAACUAGUGUAAAUUAUAAACUCCCGUUAUUUAUAAUUUUAUGAAAAUUUAAAACUAUCAAUCCAUACAAAGUGAGAAUUUUCUCAAAAGCUCCUGUAGUUUCCAUUUUCUUAAUUUCGAACAUUUCCCCUCUAAUCCUCUACCCUACAAAGUAAUCUGAAUCACUAGCCAAGACCAAAAGAGUUUUGACUUUUGGAGCAUUGAAUUCAGUUAGAAUUGGAAGAGAGUGCUGGUUGGAGAGAAGACAUGUUUAUGUUGUACUUUUGAUUAAUCCUGCCAUGAAAUUUGUAAUUCUCGUCAUUUUCUAUUUUAUUUAUCCAACAUCCAAACAAUAAAUUUCAACUUACAAAAUUUUAAAAACUAGUGUAAAUUAUAAACUCCCGUUAUUUAUAAUUCUAUGAAAAUUAAAAACUAUCAAUCCAUAUAAAGUGAGAAUUUUCUCAAAAGCCCCUAUAGUUUCCAUUUUCUUAAUCUUGAACAUUUCCCCUCCAAUCCUCUACCCUACAAAGGAAUCUGAAUCACUAGCCAAAACCAAAAGAGUUUUGACUUUUGGGGACAUUGAAUGCAAUUUGAUUUGGAGAGAAGGCAUGUUUAUGUUGUACUUUCCAUUAAUCCUGCCAUGGAAGAACUUUAACCGAAUGUUUAUGAUAUUAAACAAAACAAUGGGGGUAAAUGCGUUUUCCUCAUGCUUAAUUUAAUUGUGCUUAUCCUUUCAAAAAUAAAAAAUUAUCUUUCACCAUGCGUAAUUGUGCAUUGACCCAUUCGACGUUUACUAAUACCUACCGGCUGCCACCAACCAAUAUUGUUUUCUUUCUAAUUAAUCCUACUAGUGUUCCACAUGUUGCUUCAAGAACCCUGUGGGAAUGGGAUGAAAGUUCCAUGCUACUAUUUCUCCACUGUAAUUAUUCAAUAUUCAUAUGAUUUUGUAUGAUAAAAAUGGGCCCUUUGUUUCCCUCGUUUUUGUAUCCCGACUUGUUGCGUGGGUAAACUAUGAACAUUUUUUGUGUAUUUUUUUUUGGUUUUUGGAAUGGAGAAGCAUGAGAUUACGGUAGACUUUUUAUUUACGAGUGAAAAAGAAUAUUGCAAAACUGUUGUACUGAAUGAGAAUAGUUAUUUCAUAUCUUUUGUUUUUUUUUAUAUGAAAGAAAAAUGUGAAAGAGAGAAUGGUGGGAGAAAACUUGGAAGAAUUUAAAUUAGUAUAAUUGUUGUUUCAUCUUUAUUAUGUAAAUAUUGUUUUACUGCAAGAAUAAUAUAAGAAAACUGAUGACAUGGUUGGUGUCUUGAGAAAGAGGUUGGCAAUCUCUCUUGGAGUUUUAUCUUUAAAUUUUGCUACUUGACAUUCCACCUAGAUUUCACUUAGUAGUAGUGUUAGUGUUGAUGUGAAAUAUGCGACCGCAGCUAUAAACUGAGCAAAACGCUUGCAAUGCCAUCAAUAGCAAGAGAAAAACGGCAGCCAGCAAAGCAAGAAUUGGCCAGCCACCAACCACAUAAACCUUGAAAAAUUUUGCCAUUUUAACCUUCCAUCUACCGUUGUAAUACUUGUUCACAUCUUCAAUCGCCUGGUCCAAGAAUGGCACUUUCGUCAACCGAAUCGACUUGCUCAUACCAUUAAAUAGAUUGGCCACUUCUUCAUCACUCUUCAAAUGGUUCAGAAUUAUACCUUUUUCUCUAAGCAGCUUUGCGUCCUCCUCCGUGUCUAUAAUCCCGUUCAUCAUUUCUGUGUAGCGUGUAAAAACCAACUGCCCUGAUGCAUUUGAUGCUUCAUAAGCUACCAAGUUUCUCAGGAUCACCUCUGUGUUCACAUCUAAGCUAGUUGCGGGGAGGUAAAGUGUGACUGUUUUGGGAUCAAAGGAGACAGAUGAAAUGCAACCAUUUGUUGGCACAAAACGGACCCCGGAUUUCAUAAGAUCGGACACAGAAGGGAUUGUAAUCUCCUCUACCAAUGGAGGUCUGUUGACGGAACUCUCAUUUUCGGGUUUGAUUUCUUCUUUGUCUUGGGAGGAGAAUAAAUAAGCAACAGGUUGUUUCAAAAGUGC
rnacentral:lncRNA from 1 species